rfam:Cronobacter sakazakii ATCC BAA-894, complete genome.
AAGUAAAUCAGUAUAUGGGGAUGUUUCCCGGACAUUCAACGGCACGGAAGCAGGAAAAAUAAAUGGGGGAAUAUUUCCCCCAUUUAUUGUUAACU